rnacentral:rRNA from 1 species
GGACUACCCGGGUAUCUAAUCCUUAUUGCUACCCAGGCCUUCGUCCCUCAACGUCAGUUUUUAGAUAGAAGAAUGCUUUCGCUAUUACCUGUCCUUGUAGUAUAACAAAAUUUCAUCUCUACUCUACAAGUUCCUAUCUCCUCAUAUAAAACUCUAGUAAUUUUGUACUUUAUUAAAGCAAAAAUACCGUCUAGGUACCCUUUAAACCUAUUUAAGAUGAAUAACACUUGUCUUCCACGUAUUACCGCGGCGGCUGGCAC